CUGGCUCAGGAUGAACGCUAGCGACAGGCUUAACACAUGCAAGUCGAGGGGCAGCAUAAAAGUAGCAAUACUUGGUGGCGACCGGCGCACGGGUGAGUAACGCGUAUGCAACCUACCUAUCAGAGGGGAAUAACCCGGCGAAAGUCGGACUAAUACCGCAUAAAACAGGGGCACCGCAUGGUGAUAUUUGUUAAAGAAAUUCGCUGAUAGAUGGGCAUGCGUUCCAUUAGGUAGUUGGUGAGGUAACGGCUCACCAAGCCGACGAUGGAUAGGGGAACUGAGAGGUUGGUCCCCCACACUGGUACUGAGACACGGACCAGACUCCUACGGGAGGCAGCAGUGAGGAAUAUUGGUCAAUGGGCGGGAGCCUGAACCAGCCAAGUCGCGUGAAGGAAAGAAGGAUCUAUGGUUCGUAAACUUCUUUUGCAGGGGAAUAAAGUGCAGGACGUGUCCUGUUUUGUAUGUACCCUGAGAAUAAGGAUCGGCUAACUCCGUGCCAGCAGCAGC
rnacentral:rRNA from 1 species